UACGGAGGGGGCUAGCGUUGUUCGGCCUUACUGGGCGUAAAGCGCGCGUAGGCGGACCUGCAAGUCGGGGGUGAAAGCCCGAGGCUCAACCUCGGAACUGCCUUCGAUACUGCGGGUCUCGAGUCCGGGAGAGGUGAGUGGAAUUCCUAGUGUAGAGGUGAAAUUCGUAGAUAUUAGGAAGAACACCAGUGGCGAAGGCGGCUCACUGGCCCGGUACUGACGCUGAGGUGCGAAAGCGUGGGGAGCAAAUAGG
rnacentral:rRNA from 1 species